GACGAACGCUGGCGGCGUGCCUAAUACAUGCAAGUCGAACGAACUCUGGUAUUGAUUGGUGCUUGCAUCAUGAUUUGCAUUUGAGUGAGUGGCGAACUGGUGAGUAACACGUGGGAAACCUGCCCAGAAGCGGGGGAUAACACCUGGAAACAGAUGCUAAUACCGCAUAACAACUUGGACCGCAUGGUCCGAGUUUGAAAGAUGGCUUCGGCUAUCACUUUUGGAUGGUCCCGCGGCGUAUUAGCUAGAUGGUGGGGUAACGGCUCACCAUGGCAAUGAUACGUAGCCGACCUGAGAGGGUAAUCGGCCACAUUGGGACUGAGACACGGCCCAAACUCCUACGGGAGGCAGCAGUAGGGAAUCUUCCACAAUGGACGAAAGUCUGAUGGAGCAACGCCGCGUGAGUGAAGAAGGGUUUCGGCUCGUAAAACUCUGUUGUUAAAGAAGAACAUAUCUGAGAGUAACUGUUCAGGUAUUGACGGUAUUUAACCAGAAAGCCACGGCUAACUACGUGCCAGCAGCCGCGGUAAUACGUAGGUGGCAAGCGUUGUCCGGAUUUAUUGGGCGUAAAGCGAGCGCAGGCGGUUUUUUAAGUCUGAUGUGAAAGCCUUCGGCUCAACCGAAGAAGUGCAUCGGAAACUGGGAAACUUGAGUGCAGAAGAGGACAGUGGAACUCCAUGUGUAGCGGUGAAAUGCGUAGAUAUAUGGAAGAACACCAGUGGCGAAGGCGGCUGUCUGGUCUGUAACUGACGCUGAGGCUCGAAAGUAUGGGUAGCAAACAGGAUUAGAUACCCUGGUAGUCCAUACCGUAAACGAUGAAUGCUAAGUGUUGGAGGGUUUCCGCCCUUCAGUGCUGCAGCUAACGCAUUAAGCAUUCCGCCUGGGGAGUACGGCCGCAAGGCUGAAACUCAAAGGAAUUGACGGGGGCCCGCACAAGCGGUGGAGCAUGUGGUUUAAUUCGAAGCUACGCGAAGAACCUUACCAGGUCUUGACAUACUAUGCAAAUCUAAGAGAUUAGACGUUCCCUUCGGGGACAUGGAUACAGGUGGUGCAUGGUUGUCGUCAGCUCGUGUCGUGAGAUGUUGGGUUAAGUCCCGCAACGAGCGCAACCCUUAUUAUCAGUUGCCAGCAUUAAGUUGGGCACUCUGGUGAGACUGCCGGUGACAAACCGGAGGAAGGUGGGGAUGACGUCAAAUCAUCAUGCCCCUUAUGACCUGGGCUACACACGUGCUACAAUGGAUGGUACAACGAGUUGCGAACUCGCGAGAGUAAGCUAAUCUCUUAAAGCCAUUCUCAGUUCGGAUUGUAGGCUGCAACUCGCCUACAUGAAGUCGGAAUCGCUAGUAAUCGCGGAUCAGCAUGCCGCGGUGAAUACGUUCCCGGGCCUUGUACACACCGCCCGUCACACCAUGAGAGUUUGUAACACCCAAAGUCGGUGGGGUAACCUUUUAGGAACCAGCCGCCUAAGGUGGGACAGAUGAUUAGGGUG
rnacentral:rRNA from 1 species